GUGACACGAAGUACGAGGGCCCCGGUGACUGCUCAAACGGGGAACCGGCUCCAAAUAGAAUGGCUGUGGGGAGGGAAGAGUCCUGUGGGUGAGGACGUCUGGAGGGCAGGGAAGAGCGAUGAGCUUUAACGUUUCAAGAACCGCAAAAACGCCGGGUGCUCCUACGCGGCAUCUUCUGCACCCAAAGACAACGCGUGGCCCCCAGCCAGGCCUGGGUGACGGGGCGUCAGCCCAGAACCGUUGCAAGCACAUGGCCUUCUGGUGGGAUUCCUCCCGGGAUAAAGGGCUCUUCCACUCUCACACGGCACCUUUCUUCUGAGACAAUGAACAACAAAACCAGGUGAUGGUAAAUUUCUGUUUCUUAAAUGAGGGAAGUCCCAGGAAAUCAGAAAAAUGGAGGUGGGAGAUAAUUUUUUUGAGAGAGUCGCUUUAAAUACAUAUUGUCCACAGCGGUAUCCUCUGCUUAUGCUUUGAGUUGUCACUGCCAUCACUCAGCUGGUAAGAGACGGAACCACACCUUCAAACCUGCUCCGCGCAGUUGCGAUGAUUACUCCCUCCGGGAGGAAAAGGCAGGAGCUGUUUCUCUGAAAAAGCACAGGGGGAAGAGGCAGUGGACUAAGGGCAAGAGGACUUCCGGCACGGCAUUUUUCAUAUAUAAUAGCCCAAAAAAGCUGUGGGUGAUCUUGCCGUUUUAUUAUGGGAUUAUAAUCUCCCAUAAAUUAUAGCAGAACAUCUUAAAAAGUGUUGCAGAGAACAGAGUGAGAACCUGAGCAACUGACUUCUGUUGAAAAUGCACAUAAGACAAAACACUUUACAAGAACUAUCAAGAGCAGUGGUAAUUUUUUUCACCUGCUAUCACUUGGAUUCAUGGUGCUUCUUCUCAAUAUUGGGCACCAAUUAAAAAAACCCAAAUGAAUUCUUAGUGGGAGAGGUUUAGCAACUUUUCACUCUGACAGGAAAUAGUGACACUAUUUUCCAAGAAGUGAUCAAACAGGAAAGCUACCAGGAAAUGGAGAGGCACCAUCCAGUCACAAGACCAAGAACUACAGACUACUGAGUUCAGCGCUUGGUGGCUGAAUCGCGGCUGUCUCAUGCAAAGGGACCACUUACCCACCUCACAAGGACAACAGCAGCUCCUGAUGUAGGCUGUCCUCCCUGUCCUACACGGAACUGCCACAGGCUAUCGCUCUGCGUGUUACAGUGCUAUCAAUUCACCUUCAUAUACUCACAAUAUUCACAACAGAACUGGCAAAAUCCAGCUGCUGCCUCAGAGCAGUCAAGCCAUCCCUGCAGUGGAAGGAAGAACUUCCCACAGCAAGGACAGAUGGAGGGGCAGAGGAGGGAUCGGCACAGCCAUCCCAGCGCAAGCCAUUCCCGCUUGUCAGGAAUCUUCAAUCUCUCGGGACCUAAAUUUCAGUGAGUUCACCUCCCAUUGAGUUCAGCUUUCAGUAAAGCAGAACAACAGCUCAAGUUUAAAAAGGGGGCACGUAACAAAGAUCCACAGUUUCUCUGAGGACAAAAGGGACAAGAACUUUUAUACAGCUCACCUCAAGUACCUUCAAUUUUUUGAACAAUUACAAAUUCGAUGAAGACAUUCACAAUGAAGAGCACAGACCAACGAGUAAGCCAGCAUUUGUGCAUCCUUGCUUCUCUCAUGGAAAACUGGGGUUUGGCGGGCUGGACAAAGAGUGGGAAGGAAAACCUGGAAGCAUGAAAACAGAAAGGAGUAAAGUUUGGGUGUAACCACAGAAGUGGAGUGUGUAAGGUCUCUUCCAUGCUGGAUGCCCUUGAAUCCCACUGAAUGUGCUCAUUAGCUCGAGGCCAAAAUAAAGAAAUGCAGCUUCCCAGAACACUUGCUGUGGAUUUGUUAUUCUCAGCAACACCCUGAAUAGCAAACUUCAGUUCCUUACCAAUGUGAUAUAAUAGCGCUCCCUAAUAAAUACUGACACUGGCUUUCA